CAUUCACGGAGAGUUUGAUCCUGGCUCAGGACGAACGCUGGCGGCGUGCUUAACACAUGCAAGUCGAACGAUGAAGCCCUUCGGGGUGGAUUAGUGGCGAACGGGUGAGUAACACGUGGGCAAUCUGCCCUUCACUCUGGGACAAGCCCUGGAAACGGGGUCUAAUACCGGAUAACACUCUGUCCCGCAUGGGACGGGGUUAAAAGCUCCGGCGGUGAAGGAUGAGCCCGCGGCCUAUCAGCUUGUUGGUGGGGUAAUGGCCUACCAAGGCGACGACGGGUAGCCGGCCUGAGAGGGCGACCGGCCACACUGGGACUGAGACACGGCCCAGACUCCUACGGGAGGCAGCAGUGGGGAAUAUUGCACAAUGGGCGAAAGCCUGAUGCAGCGACGCCGCGUGAGGGAUGACGGCCUUCGGGUUGUAAACCUCUUUCAGCAGGGAAGAAGCGAAAGUGACGGUACCUGCAGAAGAAGCGCCGGCUAACUACGUGCCAGCAGCCGCGGUAAUACGUAGGGCGCAAGCGUUGUCCGGAAUUAUUGGGCGUAAAGAGCUCGUAGGCGGCUUGUCACGUCGGAUGUGAAAGCCCGGGGCUUAACCCCGGGUCUGCAUUCGAUACGGGCUAGCUAGAGUGUGGUAGGGGAGAUCGGAAUUCCUGGUGUAGCGGUGA
rnacentral:rRNA from 1 species